GUGUGCCACGCGUACAUUCCGGUUGUGAGCGCGCCGUCCAUGGCCCUCUGCCCGCGGCUCGCCACGUUUGUCAGCC
rnacentral:sRNA from 7 species